rnacentral:rRNA from 1 species
UGACCUCGGAUCAGGUAGGACUACCCGCUGAACUUAAGCAUAUCAAUAAGCGGAGGAAAAGAAACCAACAGGGAUUGCCCUAGUAACGGCGAGUGAAGCGGCAAGAGCUCAAAUUUGAAAUCUGGCUCUUUCAGAGUCCGAGUUGUAAUUUGUAGAGGAUGUUUCGGACACGACCCCGGUUUAAAUUUCUUGGAACAGAAUGUCAAAGAGGGUGAGAACCCCGUCUUGAGCCGGCGGUACGGUCUAUGUGAAACUCCUUCGACGAGUCGAGUU